CACAGGUGUGCACAUUUAAAUUGUGUGCGCACAGGUAGAGAGAGGUGAGAGUGGCCUGCAAAAAAGCAGGAAAGGUCUCUCUGCAAAACCGCACAUACAAAUAGUACUAUUGACACAUAAAAUGAAAGACACAAUAGAUAUACAGUACCUUCACUUUACAUAAUAAGUACAUAUUCACUUUUUUUAAGCCGAUUUAUCUCACUUAGAUUUUGAAUUUGAGGAUUUUUUGCAGUGAGGAUUAUGAAGUCUCCAUCAUUUGGAAAGGACAACUUGGAUUUUAAAAGUAAGUGGGAGGCCAUUUUGAACAAGUGCUCUUUCGACUUGAUUGUACUACUGAUUGAGGAAAGCAAGAGGCAAAGAGCUGAAUUACACCAUAAAGGAGAGACAACAGAGAAGCUCCUCAUCUGUGUGUUAAUUGGGACAAAAAAGAACCUCCCCAGCUGUGCGUUAAAUGAGACAACAGAGAACCUCCUCAGCUGUGCAGUAAAUGCUCAAGAAAUGGAGGAAUGGGAGAGAAUAUUCAGUGCUGAUGUUAACAAACGUGCUAAAGAGGUAGCCAAGGUUAAACACAGGACAUUUCAGCGUGAUGAACAGGACUACAGAGAUGGUUCAGUCUACCCAUGGACACAGAGGCUUCACGGCAGUUCCAAGCCGGGGCAUGGAUGCUCUUUCAGCCUUCCCAGCCGCGCCAGCACGAAUGAGGAUGUGAGCUCACAGGUCCCGUCCACAGAUUUGGAUUUUUUAGAAAAAGUGGACACAGGCAAGCCCCCAAAAAGAGGAAAACAAGGCGGGAAGACCGAAACACAGACAGGUCGCCAGGCUACCAUUUUCUCCCACAGGCCCGUCACCGGACCCAGACCAAGAGAUGGUGAUCAAUAUAUCAGAUCCACAAGAAUCUCAUGCAGCCCCCUGGAAGACCCAUUAUCAGUGGAACAGGAUCCAUUACAGAACCAUCCUCUCUCACCAUGAUGUUGCCAGCUUACAUCCGUGACACCACGCAUGUCCAUAUUAGAGGAAAUAAGUAGAAUUGACAAUAUCUGGUCACAAUAUAAUCAUUGUUAUAAUAUGGCCUGCCAAAGCUCUUUUAUUGAUGUGUUUAGCCAAAAAAAAAAUCACUUUAAAGGCUUUGCCAACUACAACACCACACAUGUCUUUUAUAGAUUGGAGUGUGAAUGUGAAUGUUUCUAUGUGGGACGAACUAGGCUUCAUGAUAGACUGGCAAAGCACAAGUACUCCAUAAAAACCAGGGAUCCUGACUAUCCUAUGGUACUACAUUUUACAAGGCUGGUCACACUUAUUUAAAAAUCUUAACAGUGAUCAUUGAAAUAAUAUCUAAGAAUGAAAGAGGUGGGCACAGGCUUGAACGCCUUCACUAAAAAGAAACCUGGUGGAUUGUUAAAUUAAGGGCCACCACUUUUCUAGGCCUCAAUGAUGAUGUGAACUUUCUGUUAUGUCGCUGUCUGGUUGGACCAAUGGAUUAUCAUGUGAAUGUGAAUGCAUAUGCAUUGUGUUUCUAAUAUGUAAGCAUGUAAAGUGAAUGUAUAUCUACUUUGUCUUUAUUAAUUAAUUUAAUAAUAUUAAUUAAUUAAUUGUGAAUAUAUAAGUAUGUUUUGUGUGUCAAUACUACUGUUUGUGUGUGCUAUUUAGCUUAGUGACUUUUCCUGUUUUGUGCAGGCCUUAAAAUGGGUGUCUAUAUAGUUGGCUAUGUAAUGGAUUUCUUUGUGUGUUUUUAAAUGAGUCUUGGUCGUGGAGUUUUGGAGGGGUGGGACUUAGGUCAUGUGACCACUCUCACCUCUCUCUACCUGUGCUCACACAAUUUAAAUGUGCACACCUGUGCUUGUUUCACAUGCCCUGAUGUAGGCUAAAUAGUCUAAAUGAGUUGGCAUGUAGCCACUGAUCAAUAAAGGCUUUUUAUUUCUGUA